CUAACCGGUGAAUAGAAAACUCAUAGGAACUGUUCAGACACCCAAGGUGAAUCCCAAUGGUUGGCGAAGGCCUCUUCCUGCAGGCUCUUGAUGAAAGAGGAAGUUUUCCUAAGGAGUGAAGGAACCCGGAGCUCUCCUGGUUGUCAGCCCCGACUUCCAGAUACUUUUCCACGCUGUGACUAUUUCCUCCAUUCCCUGGUGAAAACCACCCUGCUGCCACUCUCCAAAUGCCUCUUUCCUCACUCAGACCUGAGUCUCCAAGCUGCCAGGGCCCAUACCCUGUCUCACUGUGUUCCCAUCCACCUCAUGGUAGAAGGUGCUGCCUGCGUCUCUUCUGCCCCAUCCUCCUCCCAAAGCCUGGAGGCAGUGCUUUUAACAUUCGAGCAUCCAGGGAUCCCAGAGCCGAGCAGCAGAAGAAACACUCGAUGUGGAUUAUAGACCCCUGGGCAAAAGUGGGCUCGUGGAAUGGAACACAGGAGGAAGGCAGGCACACAAGGAACUGUAAGAAUGGAGAGGAAGACUGCUUCAAGUAAUGAAAAUUGCACAGAUUUGGAAGUCAGAGAACGGGGUUCUAAUUCCAACCUCACCAUCUACUAUUGUGGUUGCAGGCAACCAAAACCAACUCCAGCUGACAUAUGCAGAAAAUGGCAUUAUUAAAAACAUAAGGAGUGGCUCCCAGAAUCACUGGAAGAACUAAAGAACUGGCAUGGGGCUGCAGCCAAGAACACCACCCAGGAUCAUGAGGCAGAGCCUGUCUGGUGAGACCCCUGCCCCUGCAGUCCUCACUACUGCAUUGUCACCUCUGAACCUCAUAUGUGAUGGCCGCAUCACCAACACCCCCAGUCCCAGAUGCUGCAGAAGACCAUCUGCCCUAAGGAACUGAGUCUCCUUCGGCUUUCACCACCACAGAGCUGGAGUCUCAUAGCCCCCACAUCACUGGCUCUGGGCUUUCGGUGGGCACCAUGUGACUGAUGGAGGCUAGGUCUCAGACAGAGGCCAGACAAGCAAGGACUUGGCAUUUUCUUCCUCUAUGAUUAUAAAUAGGCCUGCCUCUUUCCAAGAUUCAUUAGAAGGGGAAUUCCCAAAACAGAAGAUGAGAGUUCCAAAGCUGGACAGCCAAAAUAACUUUCAAAGGCAAAUGUCCACUAAAGUGUCCAUUAACGAUUUCUCUGUGAUGAGCAUGAUUUUUUAAUCCAUGCAUUAAAAAUUCAGUAAUUUCCCACAGGGAAGUUCUCUCAAGGAUUUACAUCUCUCAUUAAAUUCCUUUCUAAGUUGAAAUUAUAGUCUUGGAGCUAAAGUGAAAGAUUGGUCAAAAUAUUAAUUGUUUGACUGAUUUAUUUGUGCUUUAUUUUUUCACCAAUAGAUUUCCCUUUUUCAGAAAAUCAUUAAUUGCAUAUUAUAUUCUCCACCAAGACUUGUACCCUUUCAGCACUCAGAUGCCGUGAUAUUACAGCCUCUUGCCCUAUAAAAAGUAAG